CCCUUAGAUGUUCUGGGCCGCACGCGCGCUACACUGACGAAGUCAGCGAGCAUGUCCUACGCCGACAGGUGCGGGGAAUCUUGUCAAACUUCGUCGUGAUGGGGAUUGAUUAUUGAAAUUCUUGAUCAUCAACGAGGAAUUCCUAGUAAGCGCAAGCCAGCAGCUUGCGUUGAUUACGUCCCUGCCCUUUGUACACACCGCCCGUCGCUACUACCGAUUGAAUGGUUUAGUGAGAUCUUCGGAUUGGCGCCACUGCGGCUCAGCAAUGGGCUCGGUGGAUGCCGAAAAGUUGAUCAAACUUGAUCAUUUAGAGGAAGUAAAAGUCGUAACA
rnacentral:rRNA from 1 species